rfam:Allomyces macrogynus ATCC 38327 genomic scaffold supercont3.45, whole genome shotgun sequence.
AGCGUCUUGGCGAAGAGGAAACGCGCAGGGCUCAUAACCCUGAGACCGUAGGAUCGAAACCUACAGACGCAA